AGCAGCCGCGGUAAUUCCAGCUCCAAUAGCGUAUAUUAAAGUUGUUGCAGUUAAAAAGCUCGUAGUUGAAUUUCGGGAUCAAAUUGUUGGUCGUGCUUCGGUACGCACUGGCAUUAUUGGUUCCUACCUUCUGAAGAACCGCGACGUCAUUAAUUUGGUGUCGUGGGGAAUCAGGACUGUUACUUUGAAAAAUUAGAGUGUUUAAAGCAGGCUUACGCUUGAAUACAUUAGCAUGGAAUAAUGAAAUAGGACGUUUGAUUCUAUUUUGUUGGUUUCUAGGAUCGACGUAAUGAUUAAUAGGGAUAGUUGGGGGCAUUAGUAUUCAAUUGUCAGAGGUGAAAUUCUUGGAUUUAUUGAAGACUAACUACUGCGAAAGCAUUUGCCAAGGAUGUUUUCAUUAAUCAAGAACGAAAGUUAGGGGAUCGAAGACGAUCAGAUACCGUCGUAGUCUUAACCAUAAACUAUGCCGACUAGGGAUCGGAUGAUGUUAAUUUUUAAUGUACUCAUUCGGCGCCUUACG
rnacentral:rRNA from 1 species